AAAGACCCGCAAGGGUAUGCUGAGAGAUGGGCUUGCGGCACAUUAGUUAGUUGGUAAGGUAAUGGCUUACCAAGACUAUGAUGUGUAGCUGGACUGAGAGGUUGAACGGCCACAUUGGGACUGAGAUACGGCCCAAACUCCUACGGGAGGCAGCAGUAAGGAAUUUUCGGCAAUGGAGGAAACUCUGACCGAGCAACGCCGCGUGAACGAUGAAGUAUUUAGGUACGUAAAGUUCUUUUAUUAAAGAAGAAAAAAUGAUGGAAAAAUCAUUCUGACGGUAUUUAAUGAAUAAGCCCCGGCUAACUAUGUGCCAGCAGCUGCGGUAAUACAUGGGGGGCAAGCGUUAUCCGGAUUUAUUGGGCGUAAAGGGUGCGUAGGCGGUUAAAUAAGUCUAUGGUAUAAGUUCAACGCUUAACGUUGUGAUGCUAUAGAAACUGUUUGACUAGAGUUGGAUAGAGGCAAGUGGAAUUCCAUGUGUAGCGGUAAAAUGCGUAAAUAUAUGGAGGAACACCAGUAGCGAAGGCGGCUUGCUGGGUCUUAACUGACGCUGAGGCACGAAAGCGUGGGGAGCAAACAGGAUUAGAUACCCUGGUAGUCCACGCCGUAAACGAUGAGUACUAAGUGUUGGGUUAAACCAGUGCUGAAGUUAACACAUUAAGUACUCCGCCUGAGUAGUACGUACGCAAGUAUGAAACUUAAAGGAAUUGACGGGACUCCGCACAAGCGGUGGAUCAUGUUGUUUAAUUCGAAGAUACACGAAAAACCUUACCAGGUCUUGACAUACUCUGCAAAGCUAUAGAAAUAUAGUGGAGGUUAUCAGGGAUACAGGUGGUGCAUGGUUGUCGUCAGCUCGUGUCGUGAGAUGUUGGGUUAAGUCCCGCAACGAGCGCAACCCUUAUCACUAGUUACCAUCAUUUAGUUGGGCACUUUAGUGAGACUGCCAAUGAUAAAUUGGAGGAAGGUGGGGAUUACGUCAAAUCAUCAUGCCCCUUAUGACCUGGGCUACAAACGUGAUACAAUGGCUGUUACAAAGAGUAGCUGAAACGUGAGUUUUUAGCAAAUCUCAAAAAAACAGUCUCAGUUCGGAUUGAAGUCUGCAACUCGACUUCAUGAAGUCGGAAUCGCUAGUAAUCGCG
rnacentral:rRNA from 1 species